rnacentral:rRNA from 1 species
UACGGGGGGGGCUAGCGUUGUUCGGAAUUACUGGGCGUAAAGGGCGCGUAGGCGGUCUGCUAAGUUGGAUGUGAAAACUCUGGGCUUAACCCAGAGCCUGCAUUCAAUACUGACAGGCUAGAGUUCUGGAGGGGAUAGCGGAAUUCCUGGUGUAGCGGUGAAAUGCGUAGAUAUCAGGAAGAACACCCGUGGCGAAGGCGGCUCUCUGGGACGGUACUGACGCUGAGACGCGAAAGCGUGGGGAGCGAACAGG